rnacentral:rRNA from 1 species
UACGUAGGGUGCAAGCGUUAAUCGGAAUUACUGGGCGUAAAGCGUGCGCAGGCGGUGAUGUAAGACAGGUGUGAAAUCCCCGGGCUUAACUUGGGAAUUGCGCUCGAAACUACUUGGCUGGAGUGUGGCAGAGGAAGGUGGAGUUCCAGGUGUAGCGGUGAAAUGCGUAGAGAUCUGGAGGAACACCGAUGGCGAAGGCAGCCUUCUGGGCCAACACUGACGCUCAUGCACGAAAGCGUGGGGAGCAAACAGG